GCGCUCUCUGAACAUGGCGUCUGUUUUUUGAAUCUCUCUCUCUCUCUCUCUCUCCCUUUUAUCUCUUCCUUUCGAGCUGUCUCUUUCUCUCAGUGAAUAAAUUAGGGCUUUAUCUGGUUUGUAUUUUGAGCGUAGAACUAGAAACCCUCGACUUAGGGUUUCUAAUUUGUUCUAACGUCUGUUGGAGCCGUUGAUUGUGGGGGAUCCUUUGGUGGGAGGCAAUGGAAACCGGUCUCCGUCGUUCGCAGAGGCGUCUUAAUGCUGAGGAAUCAAAACGGGGUGCCUCCGCCAUGUCGAGUUCUGAAAAGGCUGCGUCCAAUUCCGCGAAGGAUGAUGACCAGAGCCCGACUAGGACCGAGCAGGUGUCCGUCCGCAAGGGUCGAAAGCGUCGGGAGAAUGGCAGCGCGGCCACGAAUGAUGCCGAGCCUGUGUCGCCAACGGAGGUUGUUGAUGAAGACUUUGAGGGGAGUCCACCUGAUAGGAGGAAGAAGAAGAAGCGCGAGGUUGCAGCGGAUCAUCAGAGUCUGAUUGAAACUAUCAAAAGCAACGGGAAGUUUAUUCAUCAGGCUGUCAAAAAUUGGGUUGAACAAUAUGAAAGUGAUCCAAAGUUUGCAGUUGCUGAGAUCCUUCUGAUGCUAUUUGAGGCUUGUGGAGUCAAAUAUCAGUUUGCUGAAGUAUCAAUGGAUGAGGUUAAUGUGGAUGAUGUUGUGGUUGCUCUUGUGACUCUUACCAAAAAUGGACAAGUUGAAGACUAUGGUGGUGCUAAACAGAAGGUAUUUAAGCAGUUUAAGGAGAACCUGUUGUGUUUCUGGGACAGUUUGGUCCUGGAGUGCCAGAAUGGGCCACUAUUUGAUUCAGUUCUGUUUGAGAAAUGCAUGGACUAUGUCAUUGCCUUGUCAUGCACCCCACCAAGAAUUUUUCGUCAUGUAGCUACUUCAGUGGGCCUACAGCUUGUGACAUCUUUCAUAACUGUUGCCAAAACACUUGGUACGCAGCGUGAAACAACCCAAAGGCAAGUCAAUGCUGAAAAGAAAAAAAGAAAAGAAGGUCCAAGACUGGAAUCUCUUAAGAAAAGACUGUCUGAAACCCAUGAAAAGAUAACAGUUAUGGAAGAGAUGAUGCGCAAAAUAUUUACUGGGCUAUUUAUGCAUCGCUACAGGGACAUUGAUCCUGAUAUACGAAUGGCAUGCAUUGGAUCAUUGGGUAACUGGAUUGUAUCAUACCCGUCUCUAUUCUUGCAGGACCUAUACUUGAAGUAUCUUGGCUGGACAUUAAAUGACAAAAGUGCUGGUGUUAGGAAAACUUCUAUCAGUGCCUUACAAAAUCUUUAUGAGAUAGAUGACAAUGUCCCAUCACUCAGCCUUUUCACUGAAAGAUUUUCCAACAGAAUGAUCGAACUAGCUGAUGAUAUUGAUGUGGCUGUAGCAGUGUCUGCAGUAGGAUUGCUGAAGCAGCUGCUAAGACACCAGCUUCUUGCUGAUGAUGAGUUGGGACCACUGUAUGACCUACUUAUUGACGAACAUCCAGCUAUCAGACACGCUGUUGGGGAGCUAGUGUAUGAUCAUUUGAUUGCUCAAAAAUUCAGCAGCUCACAGUCAUCAUCCAAAGGGAAAGAAUCUGAGUCCUCUGAAGUUCAUAUUGGAAGGCUGCUGCAAAUACUUAGGGAAUUUUCCAUGGAUCCGAUCUUGAGCACCUAUGUUAUUGAUGACAUCUGGGAGCACAUGGAUGCCUUGAAAGAUUGGAAGUGUAUUAUCUCCAUGCUUCUUGAUGAGAACCCGUUGACGGAGCUUACAGACAUUGAUGCAACUAGCCUGGUUAGACUCCUGUGUGCAUCUAUUAAGAAGGCUGUUGGAGAAAAGAUUGUCCCAUCCAAUGACAAUAGAAAAGUAUACCAUACAAAAGCUCAGAAGGAAACAUUGGAAAACAAUAAGCAUGAAAUAACAAUUAACAUGAUGAAGAGAUAUGCACAAAUUUUACAAAAAUUUGUUGCUGACAAAGCAAAGGUGGCGCCAUUGGUUGAGGCUGUGGUACACUUGAAACUUGAGCUUUAUUCACUAAAGCGGCAAGAGCAGAAUUUCCAAGCUGUCUUGCAGCUUAUAAAAGAUGCUUUUUUCAAACAUGGUGAGAAUGAAACCUUGAGAUCCUGUAUCAAGUCCAUUGCAUUUUGUGCCUCUGAGAGCCCAGCAGAUCUUCAAGAUUUUGCCCGGAACAAAUUGAAGGAGCUUGAGGAUGAACUCCUUAGUAAGCUUAAAUCUGCCAUAACACAAAUAGGGGCUGGUGAUGAUGAUUAUUCCUUACUUGUUAACUUGAGAAGGUGCUACAAUUUUCAAUUGGCUAAGGCUGUCUCUAAUGAAAGUCUGUAUGAAGAUCUUGUUGGUAUCUUGAGAGACUUCAAGAACCUAGAUGAUGAGGUUGUGAGCCUUCUGCUGCUCAACAUGUAUAUGCAUGUACUAUGGUGCCGGCAGUCCUUGGAUGAGGAAAAUCCUUCUGAAGCAUCUCUAUCUUCUUUGCUGUCAAUGCGAUCAACUUUGUUUCAGCAACUUGACUAUUUUUUAAACUAUCUGCUGAAUGCAGAAGAGGAAGAAAAAGCAAUUGCCUUGCUAACAAGCAGGGUCUGUGUCAUACUCGUGGAAAUAUGGUGUAUAUUUAAUGAGAGGAAACUGAGGUCAAGCAAGCUUCAUCUGUUGGGAUUUCUUCCUGACGAAUCCACCAUUCAAAAGUUCUGGAAGCUCUGUGAGCGGCGCCUAAGUAUUAAAGAUGGUUUGGAUGAUGAGGAUGCAAAUGAAGAAUCUAUUGAUGAAAUUAAUCGGCAAGAUGCAAUAAUGAUUGCAGCAGCCAAAUUGAUAGUUAAUGAUGUAGUUCCAAAAGAAUUGCUUGCUCCAAAGAUCAUUUCACAUUUCAUCAUGCAUGGGCCAAGUGUCGCAGAGGUUGUCAAGAACUUUAUCGCUGUGCUGAAAAAAACUGCAAGUGAUGAUAUCCACAAGUUGUUUUUAGAAGCAUUAAAGAUAGCCUACCAACGGCAUGAGGAGGAGCUUUCUAGAACUGAUGGUGAUUAUUCAUCAGUCCAGUCUUUCUCAGACUGCAAGGACCUUUCUUCUCGGUUGUCUGCUACAUUUGCGGGUGCUGCUCGCAGCAAGCAUAGGUUGCAUAUUUUAGAGAUUGUUAAAAAUGGCAUAGCAUUUGCUUUUGAGGAUGCACCAAAGAAGUUGUCAUUUUUGGAGGGAUCUGUGCUUCAGUUUGUACCAAAACUCCCUGUUUCAGACAUCAUGGACAUUUUGAAAGAUAUCCAAACAAGGGUUGAGGACAUAAACACGGAUGAGGAUCCCAGUGGCUGGAGACCUUACCAUGCAUUUAUUGAUAUUCUUCGUGAGAAGUACACAAAGAAUGAAGGUCUUCAAGGUGAGGAAGGACAAGUACAAAAGCGCCGAGGGCGUCCACCAAAAUCAAAGGACUUGCAAGGAAGGAAGCUUUUUGAAGAUCAAAAUUCAAGCGAGGAAGAUGGUGAUGGUGAUUCCAUUAGUGCUUCAGACCAGGAUGAAGAUGAAGAAGAUGAUGAAACACCAUUGAGAAACUCCCUCAGGUCUUUGAGAUUAAGAUCCUUGAAGCUUGGAAAGGCCUCGCAGCAGGAAAGGUCAAAUGAUAGCAGGAGUAAUGCUCAGUCAAAGCAUGUUGGUUCUGGAAAAGCGACACUAGAUAAAGUGUUUGCCUCGUGAAAACAAGUUGGUUAGCUUGUGAAGGUCUUACUGGAGCUUAGGAGUUUGAAACACAGUAACUUGCAUGGCAGGGAACAACUCAGAAUUAUGUGUAAGCAAACCAGAUAAGGAAACAAGAGACGAUGUCUAUGCACAUUGUGCAAGUGCGAUUUUCUGUGGAUAUGAGCUGCAAUCACUGCUUGGUAGGAUGACAAGUUUUCUACUUUCUGCUCCAUAUUAUGUGGGAGAAAAAGAUUUCCCCGUUGUGUAAUUUUAAUCUCUUGUAAGUAACAACUUUUGCUUCAUCUUUUCUUUUUUGUGCAAUCCUCCUUCUUGUGCCUUUUCUUUUUUGUGCAAUCCUCCUUCUUGUGCCUUUUCUUUUCCUAUCAUCUCCUCUCUUUUCCCAUGAGUUUACCAUUUUAAUACAAGUGAAGGUGCAAAAAUGAUGUUAUUCA